AACGGCCAUACCAUGCUGAAUAUACCGGUUCAGCAUCAUUGGGCGCGGUGAGUACUUGGGUGGGUGACCACCUGGGAACACCGCGUGCUGUU